ACAAGAGACUGGCACCAAAUAAUCCCAAUCCAAAUUGAACACAUUGUUGUGUUUCAUAGUGGGAGUCAGUUGUGCAUGUUUUGUAGUAGUGAUGUGUGAAAAUUUUUGAUCUGCAUGUGUUCUCUUAUGGUAUGGAGUAUAGACAUUUUAUUUUUUCUUGUUCUUUGGUUUUUAUAUGGUUUAAUGUGGAUACAAUUGUUUGACCAAAAUGGAAUGCUUGGAAAUCUAACACUGAGGUUCAUUAUAAGUUGCACUUAGUAGUAAAUAAAAAGUUGUGGUUAGGUUAGGUAAUUUUAGGAUUUUGACAAACAUUACAAAUAUAACAGCUUUUUAAAUUAUUAGCAAUAGUUUAUAGUUUUUAACAGAUAUAAAUUGAAUAACUUUUGUAUGUAUUAUUCUUUCCCAACUUCCUAUAUACAGCUGUUGCUCAGCGGUUUCAGCUUUUCUUUCUCUCUAAUUGAACAUUUUAAAUUUAUAAUAACUCACUAUUAUAUAAAAAAAAACAUCUUAAGAGAAGAGAAAAAUCUUCUUGAGAAAUUUAGAUAAUUUUUAUUGAUUUUCACAUAAA